GACCGCACUGCUGUCUUCUAAGAACUGGCUUGAUAUCCUGUCAACAUUUGGAGUGGCAUCUGUUGUACCGUACAACAUCAGAAUGGGUUCUGCUGGAAGCGUUGUUGAUUCUGUUGAUACAAUCCGGGGUUGGACCCAACAUCACACCAACGUGGCCAAUGCCAGUGGGAAGACUAUCUACGUCAAAGUGAGGAGUCCUGGAGGAACAGAUUAUGAACAGAUUUCUGCAGGAAGUUCAGUGUCGUUUGGAACAGAUAAGGGCCAAGUCACCUUGAUGGUCUACGACAACAGCAACUAUGACAGCUACCUGGCGAGCAAAACUCUGGAUUCUGAUUACAGCAUGAUAGUCAAGAGCAGUGGAUCUGGCUUUACUAUAGUGAGAGCAAAAUAUGGCGCAAUUUGGCAAGAAGGUUAAACAGAAACUUGAACUGUCCAAUUGAAGCUGAUCUGACUAUGUUUGAUACAUUAUUUAGAAAAUUAGUCAUAAAUACGAAAUCACAAUCAUAUUAACUCUCUCCAGGCAUAGCAAAAUCAUUAAUGACAAACAAAUGGUGAGAUUUUUGUCUGCAUUCAGGUUUGCCUAAACAGUAACCCAAUCUCUUCUUCAUAACGUUCAAUGAAAUCAUUAAAGCAUUGCAAGCUGCAACCCA